GUGGGGAAUCUUGCGCAAUGGGCGAAAGCCUGACGCAGCCAUGCCGCGUGAAUGAUGAAGGUCUUAGGAUUGUAAAAUUCUUUCACCGGGGACGAUAAUGACGGUACCCGGAGAAGAAGCUCCGGCUAACUUCGUGCCAGCAGCCGCGGUAAUACGAAGGGGGCUAGCGUUGCUCGGAAUUACUGGGCGUAAAGGGCGCGUAGGCGGACAGUUUAGUCAGAGGUGAAAGCCCAGGGCUCAACCUUGGAAUUGCCUUUGAUACUGGCUGUCUUGAGUACGGGAGAAGUGAGUGGAACUCCGAGUGUAGAGGUGAAAUUCGUAGAUAUUCGGAAGAACACCAGUGGCGAAGGCGACUCACUGGCCCGUUACUGACGCUGAGGCGCGAAAGCGUGGGGAGCAAACAGGAUUAGAAACCCUGGUAGUCC
rnacentral:rRNA from 1 species